CCUACGGGAGGCAGCAGUGAGGAAUAUUGGUCAAUGGGCGCGAGCCUGAACCAGCCAAGUAGCGUGAAGGAUGACUGCCCUCCGGGUUGUAAACUUCUUUUAUAAAGGAAUAAAGUGAGGCACGUGUGCCUUUUUGUAUGUACUUUAUGAAUAAGGAUCGGCUCACUCCGUUCCAGCCGCCGCGGUAAUAAGGAGGAUCCGAGCAUUAGACUGAUUUAUUGGGUUUAACGGGAGCGUAGAUGGUUUGUUAAGUAAGUUGUGAAAGUUUGCGGCUCAACCGGAAAAUUGCAAUUGAUACUGGCAGUCUUGAGUACAGUUGAGGUAGGCGGAAUUCGUGGUGUAGCGGUGAAAUGCGUAGAUAUCACGAAGAACUCCGAUUGCGAAGGCAGCUUACUAAACUGCCACUGACAUUGAUGCUCGAAAGUGUGGGUAUCAAACAGGAUUAGAUACCCCGGUAGUC
rnacentral:rRNA from 1 species